UUUGUAGUGACAGAUAAAUGUGUAAGAUUUAAGAUCUUGAAAUGCGGUUUUCCGCCUGCAAAA
rnacentral:tRNA from 1 species